GCAUAGACUAAUUAUAUAUAGAUAUGCCACUCCCCUGUUGGGGCUGGUGACACUACCGCCACGCCAAAAUUGCACCUGGUGGCAAUUCACAGGUACUAAUUUUGGAUAUUUCCGAAGGGAACAUUAUUUUCUCCCCAGUUUUAGUUCAGAGGGUUCUAAAUAUCAUAGCAACCUGCCUGCUAUUUCGAAACUUUGUUGACAUUCAAAUGUCAAAUUCGAGAGUUCGCUCGCUCGAAUAUUCCGGUGAGCCGUUUAUUUAAAUUCCUGCUAAAUGUCUGUUCCGGAAGUCGCUUAUCCCGAAGAAGCAAGCAACAGUUACCGUUCCAAUUGCUGCCAAUGAAUCCGUGUGAGCCGUGUAUGCAGAUCAUGCAGAUGGGCUCGAGAAACCACUGCCGCCUUCUUUAAUUUUUUCCAAGACAUAUUUUAAAGCGGUCUACCAAAAUCCGUUGCCUUGUUUUCAACGGCGUGCUUACCUCCAACAAGGGUAAUUUGGUAAUGCCCGGUUCAGUGCCGUAGCCAGGCUCAAGUCCUUCCCGACGAGCUCACCAGCAGAGUCUUGGACCAAAAGCACCACGUGAUGGACAAGAACACUAGACUAGGAAUCGGUCUAUUGCGACGCUACGGGCAUAACCGAACACCGCCAGCGGAGUUGGACGUGCAUUGCAGUCAGCGCGUUCGGUGUCAGUGGGCAAGCUUUGGAACGGGAACGGAAGCCCAGGUGACUACGCACGUCGAAGAACAGUUGCAAUCUGAAAUGUCACGCACGUAUACAUACACACGAAACUCAACUCAUCCUCAACCAGACCAAAAGUGACCACCAGGACGAGAUGCACGGACUUCUACUGAAGAGAUCUAAUCCAAAAAGAACGCCCCCACACGGAACGGGGGCGAUUUGUAUACCAUUUUUGGUGCGCAGAAGCGGUCGACGAAGCACAACUCGAUCCUCGUACAGGAUGGUUGAUCAGUGGUCGUCGUGAGGACUCAAAGCGGCAUUGCGCUCUCCACGAACGCACAUAGGACCGUGUCCGCGACGCUUGGCGUGGAAAAGCAGUGCGCUAGCGUGAGGCGGUUGGAGUAUGCGUCGCGAAGGCGUGAAAACGCAGUGCGCGAACGCUGGGUAAACGGUGCGAGGGCCUAGGAACGCGGUACCCGAAGACAAGAUGUGAGCAUGCGGCAAGGUAGCAGAAGCGAGUGUGGUCUGGGUAGCGAAAGGAUGGGCCCAUCUGUUCAUUAGAAUAAGGAAGUAGGGAUAACAGUUUGGCAGGAGAAACCAUAAUAUGUAAACUACUCGAAUAAAAAAUGGCAAUUUAGUUUACACGCACACAAUUAUUUUGAGUUAUUUUGGCUUAUUAGUCGGGAGCGUCUGCGAUUUCGCUCGGCUGAACGGAUCCUCAUCAACAAUGGUGAAAUUAUAUUCUCCUCCCUCCCCCCCAACCGAAAUCCUAGCUCCACUUCUGGACCGGUUCCUCAGGCACAAAGCCCAAGAAGCAUAUAAUUACUGACUGCAGGCACGCGGGAAUACGUCAUCAACUUUAUACGCUAGCAAGAAGUGCGGUUUACGGAAAUGGAACGUACCAAAGUGUUAAAAAAGGAUCUGCUCAUUUAACGAUAACGAACAAGCAGUCAUCCUCCAAUAAUAGUUCUCUACGGCAGUCUUUGUCAAGGCAUUACGCUCCAAGAACCACGUUAUGCAGCAGAGCAAUAUUAAACAAUGUCUCUUACAAAUCUUAUUAUUUUGAUAUAACAGCGUUUAUAAUAAAAAGAUUAAUUAUAAAUCAAGCUGUUCAUAUUUUCCAUUUUGAGGCUCUGUAUGAUUUCUGAGCUUCAACUGGUCAGCCUUGUUGUGUAGGAGACGGUGGCGGACGCUCUCAUUCCGAUUCACAAUAUCAAAGCUGAUUGUUUUCUUGAUGUGCCAGCUUCAAGUAAUGACCUUGCUGAAGUUUUUGUCAUUUUUUAUC